rnacentral:rRNA from 1 species
AUUCCAGCUCCAAUAGCGUAUAUUAAAGUUGUUGCAGUUAAAACGCUCGUAGUCGGAUUUCGGGGCGGGCCGACCGGUCUGCCGAUGGGUAUGCACUGGCCGGCGCGUCCUUCCACCCGGAGACCGCGCCUACUCUUAACUGAGCGGGCGCGGGAGACGGGUCUUUUACUUUGAAAAAAUCAGAGUGUUUCAAGCAGGCAGUCGCUCUUGCAUGGAUUAGCAUGGGAUAAUGAAAUAGGACUUUGGUUCUAUUUUGUUGGUUUCUAGGACCGAAGUAAUGAUUAAUAGGGACAGUUGGGGGCAUUCAUAUUCCAUUGUCAGAGGUGAAAUUCUUGGAUUAACGGAAGAUGAACUUCUGCGAAAGCAUUCGCCAAGGAUGUUUUCAUUA